GGGUUUCUCCAUGUUGGUCAGGCUGGUCUCGAACUCCUGACCUCAGGUGAUCCAGCCACCUUGGCGUCCCAAAGUGCUGGGAUUACAGGCAUAAGCCACCACGCCAGGCCCAUUUUGUUUCUUUUACAAGCAUGUGCUUUUGUAAGCAGAAAAACUCUACCACAUGAGAUUGGCAUGGGAACAGGAGACAAAUCAAUAGAACAGAACUCAAGUCUAGAAACAGACUCCUACAUAUUUGGGAAUCUAGUAUAUGAGGAGGACACUUCAAACCACAGGUGAAGAUACCACGUCGGAUGACUUCUGGAAAAAAAAAAAUCGAUCCCUACCUUUCUGCAUACACCAGAAAUAAAUUCCAGGUGGAGUAAGAUUUAAGUGUAAAAAAUAAAACCCUAAGAAAAAAAUAUAAAUGAAUGUUUUAUAACCUUGGGAUACAAGUUGGGGGAGUCUUUCUAGGGAUGAUACCAAAGGGAAAACUAUAAAAGACUGAUAAAUUUUCCUAUCUAAAAAUGUAAAACUUCUAUACACCCCUAACUGCCAUGAACUAAAUUAUUAUGAUUUCUGGAAUUCAUCAUCUUAAAAACACACUCUCCAUCUUCUCAUGAGGCUGGGAAACAGGAGGGGCUAAUAAACUUCCCUCUGCCUUGGAGACCAGGCCAGAUGUGAACGGGGAGGGCAGGGAGGGGCAAAGGUGUUGAACUUUGGGGAGGUGCAUGAACCAAGACCCCUGGAACGCGAGAGAGUGGUCUGAUCUAGAGGAAGCCCUGGGGUCUGCAGGCUGUAGGAGGUGUCCCGGAAUGAGGGCGCUCUUGUGGAUGGAAAAGCUAGUUCAAGCUGUGGGGGCACCCACAGGCACAUGGUGGUUGCAGAGGUGGGAGGAAGACAAAACAAGAACAGGGCCCCAGAUGCCGCAGGGGCAGUGUGUACUGCUCCACCUGGCAGAGGUCACCAGUGAUUCUGGAGAAUGGACGGGAUACCCUGCGGCCUCCGUGGCAAAGCCUGUUCCUCUCUGUUUGCCCACCAGACUUCAGCAGAUCUGUCUCCUCCACUGCCUGGGAGCUCCCAAGGGCGGAGAAGCUCUGAUACACUGUUU
rnacentral:lncRNA from 1 species